UGCUGUCACUUAUAGAUGGAUCCGCGCUGCAUUAGCUAGUUGGUAAGGUAACGGCUUACCAAGGCAACGAUGCAUAGCCGACCUGAGAGGGUGAUCGGCCACACUGGAACUGAGACACGGUCCAGACUCCUACGGGAGGCAGCAGUAGGGAAUCUUCCGCAAUGGGCGAAAGCCUGACGGAGCAACGCCGCGUGAGUGAUGAAGGUCUUCGGAUCGUAAAACUCUGUUAUUAGGGAAGAACAUAUGUGUAAGUAACUGUGCACAUCUUGACGGUACCUAAUCAGAAAGCCACGGCUAACUACGUGCCAGCAGCCGCGGUAAUACGUAGGUGGCAAGCGUUAUCCGGAAUUAUUGGGCGUAAAGCGCGCGUAGGCGGUUUUUUAAGUCUGAUGUGAAAGCCCACGGCUCAACCGUGGAGGGUCAUUGGAAACUGGAAAACUUGAGUGCAGAAGAGGAAAGUGGAAUUCCAUGUGUAGCGGUGAAAUGCGCAGAGAUAUGGAGGAACACCAGUGGCGAAGGCGACUUUCU
rnacentral:rRNA from 1 species